rnacentral:rRNA from 1 species
AAAUUGAAGAGUUUGAUCAUGGCUCAGAUUGAACGCUGGCGGCAGGCCUAACACAUGCAAGUCGAGCGGUAACACAGAGAGCUUGCUCUCGGGUGACGAGCGGCGGACGGGUGAGUAAUGUCUGGGAAACUGCCUGAUGGAGGGGGAUAACUACUGGAAACGGUAGCUAAUACCGCAUAACGUCGCAAGACCAAAGUGGGGGACCUUCGGGCCUCAUGCCAUCAGAUGUGCCCAGAUGGGAUUAGCUAGUAGGUGGGGUAACGGCUCACCUAGGCGACGAUCCCUAGCUGGUCUGAGAGGAUGACCAGCCACACUGGAACUGAGACACGGUCCAGACUCCUACGGGAGGCAGCAGUGGGGAAUAUUGCACAAUGGGCGCAAGCCUGAUGCAGCCAUGCCGCGUGUGUGAAGAAGGCCUUCGGGUUGUAAAGCACUUUCAGCGGGGAGGAAGGCGUUAAGGUUAAUAACCUUGGCGAUUGACGUUACCCGCAGAAGAAGCACCGGCUAACUCCGUGCCAGCAGCCGCGGUAAUACGGAGGGUGCAAGCGUUAAUCGGAAUUACUGGGCGUAAAGCGCACGCAGGCGGUCUGUCAAGUCGGAUGUGAAAUCCCCGGGCUCAACCUGGGAACUGCAUUCGAAACUGGCAGGCUAGAGUCUUGUAGAGGGGGGUAGAAUUCCAGGUGUAGCGGUGAAAUGCGUAGAGAUCUGGAGGAAUACCGGUGGCGAAGGCGGCCCCCUGGACAAAGACUGACGCUCAGGUGCGAAAGCGUGGGGAGCAAACAGGAUUAGAUACCCUGGUAGUCCACGCCGUAAACGAUGUCGAUUUGGAGGUUGUGCCCUUGAGGCGUGGCUUCCGGAGCUAACGCGUUAAAUCGACCGCCUGGGGAGUACGGCCGCAAGGUUAAAACUCAAAUGAAUUGACGGGGGCCCGCACAAGCGGUGGAGCAUGUGGUUUAAUUCGAUGCAACGCGAAGAACCUUACCUGGUCUUGACAUCCACAGAACUUUCCAGAGAUGGAUUGGUGCCUUCGGGAACUGUGAGACAGGUGCUGCAUGGCUGUCGUCAGCUCGUGUUGUGAAAUGUUGGGUUAAGUCCCGCAACGAGCGCAACCCUUAUCCUUUGUUGCCAGCGGUUCGGCCGGGAACUCAAAGGAGACUGCCAGUGAUAAACUGGAGGAAGGUGGGGAUGACGUCAAGUCAUCAUGGCCCUUACGACCAGGGCUACACACGUGCUACAAUGGCAUAUACAAAGAGAAGCGACCUCGCGAGAGCAAGCGGACCUCAUAAAGUAUGUCGUAGUCCGGAUUGGAGUCUGCAACUCGACUCCAUGAAGUCGGAAUCGCUAGUAAUCGUAGAUCAGAAUGCUACGGUGAAUACGUUCCCGGGCCUUGUACACACCGCCCGUCACACCAUGGGAGUGGGUUGCAAAAGAAGUAGGUAGCUUAACCUUCGGGAGGGCGCUUACCACUUUGUGAUUCAUGACUGGGGUGAAGUCGUAACAAGGUAACCGUAGGGGAACCUGCGGUUGGAUCACCUCCUUA